rnacentral:rRNA from 1 species
AUUGAACGCUGGCGGCAGGCUUAACACAUGCAAGUCGAGCGAGCGGCGGACGGGUGAGUAAUGUAUGGGAAACUGCCCGAUAGAGGGGGAUAACUACUGGAAACGGUAGCUAAUACCGCAUACCAUCGGAUGUGCCCAGAUGGGAUUAGCUAGUAGGUGGGGUAAUGGCUCACCUAGGCGACGAUCCCUAGCUGGUCUGAGAGGAUGACCAGCCACACUGGAACUGAGACACGGUCCAGACUCCUACGGGAGGCAGCAGUGGGGAAUAUUGCACAAUGGGCGCAAGCCUGAUGCAGCCAUGCCGCGUGUAUGAAGAAGGCCUUAGGGUUGUAAAGUACUUUCAGCGAGGAGGCGUUACUCGCAGAAGAAGCACCGGCUAACUCCGUGCCAGCAGCCGCGGUAAUUC